ACAACAGUUGGAAACGACUGCUAAUACCGCAUAAGCCCACGGCUCGGCAUCGAGCAGAGGGAAAAGGAGCAAUCCGCUUUGAGAUGGCCUCGCGUCCGAUUAGCUAGUUGGUGAGGUAACGGCCCACCAAGGCGACGAUCGGUAGCCGGACUGAGAGGUUGAACGGCCACAUUGGGACUGAGACACGGCCCAGACUCCUACGGGAGGCAGCAGUGGGGAAUAUUGCACAAUGGGGGAAACCCUGAUGCAGCGACGCCGCGUGGAGGAAGAAGGUCCUCGGAUUGUAAACUCCUGUUGUUGAGGAAGAUAAUGACGGUACUCAACAAGGAAGUGACGGCUAACUACGUGCCAGCAGCCGCGGUAAAACGUAGGUCACAAGCGUUGUCCGGAAUUACUGGGUGUAAAGGGAGCGCAGGCGGGAAGACAAGUUGGAAGUGAAAUCCAUGGGCUCAACCCAUGAACUGCUUUCAAAACUGUUUUUCUUGAGUAGUGCAGAGGUAGGCGGAAUUCCCGGUGUAGCGGUGGAAUGCGUAGAUAUCGGGAGGAACACCAGUGGCGAAGGCGGCCUACUAGGCACCAACUGACGCUGAGGCUCGAAAGUGUGGGUAGCAAACAGGAUUAGAUACCCUGGUAGUCCACACUGUAAAC
rnacentral:rRNA from 1 species